ACGUAGGUCCCGAGCGUUGUCCGGAUUUAUUGGGCGUAAAGCGAGCGCAGGUGGUUUAAUAAGUCUGAUGUAAAAGGCAGUGGCUCAACCAUUGUGUGCAUUGGAAACUGUUAGACUUGAGUGCAGUAGAGGAGAGUGGAAUUCCAUGUGUAGCGGUGAAAUGCGUAGAUAUAUGGAGGAACACCGGUGGCGAAAGCGGCUCUCUGGACUGUCACUGACACUGAGGCUCGAAAGCGUGGGUAGCAAACAG
rnacentral:rRNA from 2 species